rnacentral:rRNA from 1 species
ACGAACGCUUGCGGCGUGCUUAACCCCUACCAGUCGCACGGAAAGGCCCUGCUUUUGUGGGGUGCUCGAGUGGCGAACGGGUGAGUAACACGUGAGUAACCUGCCCUUGACUUUGGGAUAACUUCAGGAAACUGGGGCUAAUACCGGAUAGGAGCUCCUGCUGCAUGGUGGGGGUUGGAAAGUUUCGGCGGUUGGGGAUGGACUCGCGGCUUAUCAGCUUGUUGGUGGGGUAGUGGCUUACCAAGGCUUUGACGGGUAGCCGGCCUGAGAGGGUGACCGGCCACAUUGGGACUGAGAUACGGCCCAGACUCCUACGGGAGGCAGCAGUGGGGAAUAUUGCACAAUGGGCGGAAGCCUGAUGCAGCAACGCCGCGUGCGGGAUGACGGCCUUCGGGUUGUAAACCGCUUUCGCCUGUGACGAAGCGUGAGUGACGGUAAUGGGUAAAGAAGCACCGGCUAACUACGUG